rnacentral:lncRNA from 1 species
UGUUGAGUGCUUGUUUACUUUAGUAGAGCAGGCUGUAAGCUAUGGUUCCUCUAGGGCUGUUUUACACAAAGUUCAGCUUUCCCAGCCAUAGAAACAACUACUAGGACAGGACAAAGAGCAGAAUUAAGUUAUUGCCCAUUUUAGUUCCACCCAAAUUCUUGAGAGGGAUCAGACAAUAAGGCAGCAAAGUUCAAGACAAAUCCUUUAGCAACAGUAGAAGUCCUGCUAAGGAUAUCCUGUGUUUGAAAGAUAAUUCCAGUUAAAAUGUUUCAAACCAUUCAUAUAUUUAUAAAUUAAUGCUAUAAUAAUGAAAAUAGUUACUCUUUUUUUUUUUUUCCCCACUUACCAUAUGUUUUACAGACAUAACUUUAUAUUAGUCAUUUAGUAUAGAGGCAUCUAAACAGUAAGUGAAACAGCUACCUUAUUUUACAGAUUUCUUUGUUUUCUAAGUGGCAUUAUGAAAUUAAAAAAAAAAUAAGUAAGAAAGAAAGAAAGAAAAAAGCAACACCCAACAACGCACCUUUAAUAGAUAGCUUAUUAGCUUCAUCUGCUUGAUAAGACGAAAAAGGACAGGUGAGAGAAAUGAGUUCAGCUGUGCCUUGUUUGGAAAAGAAGGGAUUGGAUGUUGCAGCCUUCAUUGAGAAGAGGUGGCUUCUUAAGACAAAUGUUUGGUUAUUAUAAAAAGGUAGUGUUGCUUACUGAAGGAAGGUUGGAGAUUUUGUUGGGUUUUAAUUGCAUCAUUUUUUUAUUUUUUUUCUUUGUAUGGGUGCUAAAGGUACUGAGGCACAAUGAAGUAAAAUAA